rnacentral:rRNA from 1 species
GAUGAACGCUAGCGACAGGCCUAACACAUGCAAGUCGAGGGGCAGCAUAGAGGUAGCAAUACUUUGGUGGCGACCGGCGCACGGGUGAGUAACACGUAUGCAACCUACCUGUAAGAGGGGAAUAACCCGGAGAAAUUCGGACUAAUACCGCAUAAAACCACGAAUUCGCAUGGAUUUGUGUUUAAACAUUUAUGGCUUACAGAUGGGCAUGCGUAUGAUUAGCUAGUUGGUAGGGUAACGGCCUACCAAGGCAACGAUCAUUAGGGGUUCUGAGAGGAAGGUCCCCCACACUGGUACUGAGACACGGACCAGACUCCUACGGGAGGCAGCAGUGAGGAAUAUUGGUCAAUGGGCGAGAGCCUGAACCAGCCAAGUCGCGUGAAGGAAGAAGGUUCUAUGGAUUGUAAACUUCUUUUGUAAGGGAAUAAAAAGAGUUACGUGUAACUUAUAGUAUGUACUUUACGAAUAAGGAUCGGCUAACUCCGUGCCAGCCGCCGCCGUAAAAC